UAACGCGAAGAACCUUACCAGGUCUUGACAUCCUUUGACCACUCUAGAGAUAGAGCUUUCCCUUCGGGGACAAAGUGACAGGUGGUGCAUGGUUGUCGUCAGCUCGUGUCGUGAGAUGUUGGGUUAAGUCCCGCAACGAGCGCAACCCUUAUUACUAGUUGCCAGCAUUUAGUUGGGCACUCUAGUGAGACUGCCGGUGACAAACCGGAGGAAGGUGGGGACGACGUCAAAUCAUCAUGCCCCUUAUGACCUGGGCUACACACGUGCUACAAUGGAUGGUACAACGAGUUGCGAGACCGCGAGGUUUAGCUAAUCUCUUAAAACCAUUCUCAGUUCGGAUUGUAGGCUGCAACUCGCCUACAUGAAGCCGGAAUCGCUAGUAAUCGCGGAUCAGCAUGCCGCGGUGAAUACGUUCCCGGGCCUUGUACACACCG
rnacentral:rRNA from 1 species